CACUUCUCUUGUGUGUAUAACGCACACACACACACGCAUCCCUAUAAAGAAUCAAUUCCUCUCAAGAAUAAGAAAUUCAAGCAGCCCACAGCGGCGACGUCUUCCCGAAAACAAUGGCGUCUUAUGUGGAUAACAGCUUCCGACAGGCGGUGAUGAUGAACCCGGCGGAGAGGACGCAACAGGACCUGGAGAUCGUCUACUCGUAUCUCCACGGGAUGGAGGCCUUGUCCAACCUGCGGGAGCACCAGCUGAGGAUAAUGUGCGAGACGGUCCGUUACGAGAGACACGAGGCCAACGAAGUGCUCUACUACCCGGACGACAUCGGCAGCUGCUGGUACAUCCUGCUGUCCGGCUCCGUCUUCAUCAAGGAGUCCAUGUUCCUGCCCAGGAGCAGUUUUGGGAAGCGAUCUGCGGGCAGCCUGCGACGCGGAUGUGAGUGCAUCGUCCUGGAACCCUCAGAGAUGAUUGUGGUGGACUAUAUGGACGAAAAUGAGGAAUACUUUCAGCGACAGGCCUCGCACAGACAGUCCCGGCGGCGCUUUCGGAAGAUCAACCAAAAGGGGGAGAGGCAGACGAUCAUCGACACCGUGGAUCCGUACCCCACCGGAAAGCCGCCCAUAGCCCGCGGGUACCACACGGAAUGCAAUAAAGCUCAGCUCCCCGCAGACUUCAGCAGACUUCACCUGGCCGACGGCUUGCACCCACAGGUGACCCACGUCUCCUCCAGCCACUCAGGAUGUAGUAUCACCAGCGACUCGGGAAGCAGCAGCCUGUCAGACAUUUACCAGGCCACAGAGAACGAGCCAGGUGACAUGGACCUGAGCGGGCUGCCCGAGACCGCCGUCGACUCCGAGGAGGACGACGACGAAGAGGACAUCGAGCGGGCGUCGGACCCCCUCAUGAGCCGGGACAUCGUGCGCGACUGCCUGGAGAAGGACCCGAUGGACAGAACCGACGACGACAUAGAGCAAUUACUGGAGUUCAUGCAUCAACUGCCCGCAUUCGCCAACAUGACCAUGUCGGUGAGGAGGGAACUCUGCGCCGUCAUGGUUUUCGCCGUGGUGGAGCGCGCCGGCACCAUCGUUCUCAAUGACGGGGAGGAGUUGGAUUCCUGGUCAGUUAUUCUGAACGGUUCGGUGGAAGUGACGUAUCCAGACGGCCGGACGGAGAUCCUGUGCAUGGGGAACAGCUUCGGGGUGUCACCAACCAUGGAAAAGGAAUACAUGAAGGGUGUGAUGAAGACCAAGGUGGACGACUGCCAGUUUGUGUGUAUAGCCCAGCAGGACUACUGCUGCAUCCUCAACCAGGUGGAGAAGAACAUGCAGAAGGUGGAGGAGGAAGGCGAGAUCGUCAUGGUGAAGGAACACCGCGAACUGGAUCGCACCGGCACCAGGAAAGGACACAUCGUAAUCAAGGGCACAUCGGAGCGUCUCACCAUGCACCUAGUGGAGGAGCACUCAGUGGUGGACCCCACCUACAUAGAGGACUUCCUGUUGACCUACAGGACGUUCCUCUCCAGCCCCAUGGUCGUGGGCAAGAAGCUCCUGGAGUGGUUCCACGACCCCAGUCUCAGGGACAAGGUUACACGGGUAGUCUUGCUGUGGGUAAACAAUCACUUCAACGACUUUGAGGGUGACUCUGCCAUGACUCACUUUCUGGAGGAGUUUGAAAACAAUCUUGAGAAAGAAAAAAUGUGUGGGCACCUCAGACUGUUAAAUAUUGCGUGCGCUGCUAAAGCCAAGCCGCGGCUGGUGACGCUGACCAAGCCGUCCCGGGACUCUGCACUGGCGUUCAGCCUACUCGGAGGUCAGGAGAAGGGUUUUCGCGUCUUCAUCGAUGCCGUGGAGCCUGGGAGCAAAGCGGCAGAAGUCGGCCUUAAGCGUGGAGAUCAGAUCUUAGAGGUCAAUGGGCAGAACUUUGAAAAUGUCCAGCUCAACAAAGCCAACGAGAUUCUGAAGAACAACACCCACUUAUCCAUAACUGUGAAAACGAACCUCUUAGUGUUUAAAGAUCUUCUAACGAGGCCCGAACACGACCACGACUUGGACGGGGAGGAGGAGCACGACAGGAAGAACGGGGCGCCCCACCUUCCGAAGAUCGGCGACAUCAAGAAGGCCAGCCGCUACUCCAUCCCCGACCUGGCGGUUGACGUGGAGCAGGUGAUGGGCCUGGAGAAGGUCAGCAAGAAAGCGAAGACCAACACGGUGGGAGGACGCAACAAGCUGAAGAAGAUCUUCGACAAGACGCUCACCAGCAUCCUGCCUCCUAAACCGUACAACGACGUUUGCGUGGGCCAAUCGCAGGAUGACAGCAUCGUGGGGUUGAAGCAGUCCAAGCAGAUCCCACCAGCUCUGCCCGUCAGCGGAAACCUCUCCUCGUCGAACCCGGACCUUCUGCAGUCGCACCACCGCAUCCUCGACUUCAACAACCAGCCGGUUCCAGUCCUACCAAAUAUGUCGGACCAGGUUUUACGAGUCUUCAAGGCUGACCAGCAGUCUCGCUACAUCAUGAUCGGGAAGGACACGACGGCCAAGGAGGUGGUGGCCCAGGCCAUCAGGGAGUUUGCCCUGACGGCAGCGCCAGAGGCUUAUUCCCUGUGUGAGGUCUCCGUCACGCCAGAGGGCGUCAUCAAACAGAGGCGAUUACCGGACCAGCUUUCUAAAUUAGCCGACCGGAUUCAGCUCAGCGGCAGAUACUACCUAAAGAGCAACAUGGAGACCGAGACGUUGUGUUCAGAUGACGACGCCCAGGACCUCCUUCGAGAAGGGCAGAUCUCUCUGUUACAACUCAGCACGGUUGAGGUGGCCACUCAGCUCUCAAUGCGGGCCUUUGAACUCUUCUGCGCCAUCGAGCCCACUGAGUAUAUCGACGACCUGUACAAGCUGCGCUCAAAGACGGGCUCGGUCAGCCUGAAGCGCUUCGAGGAGGCCAUCAAUCACGAGACCUUCUGGGUGGCCACCGAGGUGAUGCGGGAGCCCAACCAGCUCAAACGCAUGAAGACCGUCAAGCACUUCAUCAAGAUCGCCCUGCACUGCCGCGAGUGCAAGAACUUCAACUCCAUGUUUGCCAUCAUUAGCGGUCUGAAUCUGGCUCCAGUCUCCAGACUGAGGGGAACGUGGGAAAAGUUACCCAGCAAGUACGAGAAGCUGUUCGGGGACCUGCAGGACCUCUUCGACCCUUCCAGAAAUAUGGCCAAGUACAGGAAUGUCCUCAACAAUCAAAACCUCCAGCCUCCAAUUAUUCCCUUGUUCCCGGUCAUCAAGAAGGACCUCACCUUCCUACAUGAAGGCAAUGACUCGAAAGUGGACGGCCUGGUGAACUUCGAGAAGCUGAGGAUGAUCGCCAAAGAAAUCCGCCAUGUUGGACGCAUGGCGUCCGUCAACAUGGACCCGGCCCUCAUGUUCCGGACGAGGAAGAAGAAAUGGAGAAGUUUAGGCAGGUCUCUAAGCCAGGGUAGUGCCAACGCGGCCGUGCUCGACGUCACGCAGACGGGCGGGCACAAGAAGCGGGUGCGCCGCAGCUCCUUCCUGAACGCCAAGAAGCUUUACGAGGACGCGCAGAUGGCCAGGAAGGUCAAGCAGUACUUGUCCAACCUCAGCCUGGAGACGAACGAGGAGAGUCUGCAGACGCUGUCGCUGCAGUGCGAGCCCUCCAUCAGCACGCUGCCCAAGAAUGCCGGCGGGAAACGACCCGACACCUCCCCGGUCGUGUCGAGAGCUGCCAGUCAACAGAGGGGGCAGUUGGCCAAGGGAAACCAGGCUCUCCAGGUCCCGGCCGUGGCACUCUACCCAUCCCGAAAGAAAGUCCCAGUCAAAGAUCUGCCGCCUUUCGGCACCAGUUCCCCGCAUUCUCUGAAGAAGAUCCUGUCGCUGUCAGAGGAGGGGAACGAAAGGCACCGGAGGCAGCCAGAGGACACUGUGUCCAACGCCUCCUCCCAGCUCUCCUCCCCUCCCACCUCCCCCCAGAGCUCGCCCAAGAAGGGUUACAACCGGAUGGGAGAUGCCUACUCAGACUCUGGUCACAGUGAGAUCUCCUCCCGCUCCAGCCUCGUCAGUAACUCCUCGUUCGACAUGGCCCAGGAGGAGAGGAGGCUCCGUCACUCUGGGGGAGUUGGGGAGUCUCACAUCGGGGGACCGCGGCUGGAGCGACGAGCCACCACCGACCCCGACCAGUACAGCCUCGGGUCAUUUUCGUCGAUGCAGGACUGUCGGGGUAUUUACACCGGCUGCCCUACAGUCCUCUCCUCGCCCAGCUCGGAGGAGCUAACUCAAGACCAGGGCGACCGUGUCUCCCUCGACGCUGCUGACAGCGGCCGCGGCUCCUGGACUUCCUGCUCCUCUGGUUCCCAUGACAACAUCCAGACGAUGCAGCAGGGACGCAGCUGGGAGACUCUGGCCUUCGGCGGCGGCGGCGUUGGGCUCCCUCCCGGCGGACCAGAGGCCUUCUUAGGAGGACCCGCAGCGCUGUGGGCGGCACAGGCCAGGGGGAGCUGGGCGUCCGCCAGCUCCUCCUCAUCCUCGGCUGCGUACUGGGGGGAGGACUCCGAGGGCGACACCGGCACCAUCAAGAGGAGAGGAGGGAAGGAUGUCAACGCCGACCCAGAGACGAGUAGCAUCACUUCCACCGGGUCGGAGGAGGCCAAGCAGCUCGGCCGGCCAUCUCCGUCACCCAUCACUGCUGGGGGUAAAGGCUUCAUUUCGCGGAAAGAAGGCCGUUACCGCGAGCCUCCCCCUACUCCCCCCGGCUACACUGCCCUGACCAUCUCCGACCUCGCCGAAGGGCAACACCCGGCCCCGGCCGCUCCCGCGAUCGCGGCGACGCACUCGGGCCGCCGGCCGCCCGACUACACCACGGCGCUGCAGCGCUCGCGCAUGGUCACCCAGUCCCCCGACUCCCACCUAGCCCACCAGGGGGCGAAACAGCGCUCGGGCGGCCUUCACCGCACUCGCUCGCCGGCCGAGGAGCAAGAGCCCGAUGAGGAAGAGGAGGGUGAGUCCUUGUCUUCCAAACUAGUCGCUCUGAGGAAGCCAAAGCGAGUGGCACCGCACACACCCGAGACUCCCAGACCAUGAGAGUGUGUGUACGGGGGUAUACAGGCAGGGCCCCCCUCCCCCCCCAAAGGCAGAGGACGAACAGGUGUCGGCGGUGUGAGGGACGACAGUGGACCUCCCUCUUUUUGCAGUAACUUGAAGCCCCCCCCACUGGUUUUCCGGGGUUGGGGCAGGAUUUAAAGAGACAGACAGACCAAGAGACUCAUCAUCAGUUACAUACGUGCCUGCCUCCUCCACUUGGCCCCCCUCCCCCCUUCUGAUCGGCGGCGGAUCCCUCUGCUCAUCAUCUCCCUCCCCUGCCUUAAAGCAUCAUGGGGGGUUGAAUGACCCUGCAUGCAAACAAAAUACUGUGAAGACGACAAAGAAGGAGAAGAGGAGGAGGAGAUGGAGAGACGAUGACGAAAAGCCUGGCACUUUGGAGAAGAAAAAGACUACAGAGACCUGACUGGCGCCCCGGGGGGAGGGGGUCGACCUGGCCACACACACACACACACACACACACACACACACACACACAACCACACAAAUGUUGCUGUCAGAAAAGCGGGAUCCGCCUCCACACCCCUGGCGACGGAAACCCCCCGAACUCACCUGCAUCAUGACGUGUUGAGCUCCAUCUGCACUUUCUGGGUUUUUUGUUUUUUUUUCACUUUCUAAAAAACUGAACAAAGAACAAAACAAGACUGUUGUCUGAGAAACAAACCGGUUGACUUGACUCUGAGUUUUCAACUUCCCUCUAGAUUUCAUUUCUUUCUCCUUAGUUGGUUUCCUUUUUUUCUCUGACUGAUUGCACUCUGGGGGGGGGGGCCGAAGAAGAGAAAGCAAGUAAGUCAGCCCAUCGUCUCUCUGCCUGGACUGAAACUGAAACAACCUGUUGUUGAGUGUGUGAACUCGAACAAACAAAUCCAGUAUUAUCUAAUGUUCCACAUGUGAACGCUUAUCAAGUGUUGGUUCCAAUCAAAGCACACACACACACACACACACACACACACACACACACACACACACACACACACACACACACACAAAAAGACAGUUCAUUUAUUAAAUAUAGCACUUUCAGCACAAUCCUAGAUGUUUUACCAGACAUUUGGCCUGGACACCAGGGUAUGAUCGAACCGCAUCAGUCCCCCCCACGCCCACCCCCCCCCCGGAGCUCGUCUAUGGGUUCUACCGGCCUCUUCGUCGCCCCGUGGCUCGCCGCGACGUCCAGAGUGUCUACUCUUAGUGUUAGUUGCCUGCAGGUGAGGCGAUCGAUACAAAAGCACACAGGCGAACGGGGGGGGGGGUCUCGGCGAGGUGACUGAACCGAGUCGGCCGGAGGUGGAGACGAUUGAAGCCUGUAGAUUCGCCCAGAUCAAAAAAAAAAAUGGCGGUCGGACGCCGGCCGCGACUUCUUUCAUCGCUUGCGGAUCAAAGGGAUCGAACUGUCGAGCGACAGCGUCGCCUCUCGUCCCUUUGUGUGUGUUUUUUAAAUUUCCGGUAGGAAGUUGAUCACAGACGCCGACCAGGGUAGAAGAACAUCAGCCGACUUCAGGGGCUGCCAAUGUGUAAAUUGCGAGUAGCUACUUUUACAAAAUAAUCUUGUACAGAGUCUUAUAAUACACACAUAUUCCUUUCAAAAUAAAAGUACCCACAAUUUGAGAUUAGGCUUUUUCGCUUCCCCCCCCCCACGCCACCCGUCUAACCCGGGCGUAUGCCACAUUGUCGUGAACGUCCGAAGCGCCUUACGAUGCCAUGAUUGCGUAACAAUGGUCACACGGUUGUUCUCAUCGCCAAUCACCUUGUUUCAGGAGCCGUCUAGAAUGGAGCGAAUGGUGGAGUGAAAAUGCCUUAUUCAAGAUACUUCCCUCAAAGUUCUAUCAGUUUUUUUCCUCAUCAAAUGUACUAAGACUCGGUACAAGAUGAAGUCGAGCGUUUCCUUUUCCGCCGUUUGGACGUCGCGGGGCCUCGGACAGCGGCGUCGGGCGGGGGCCGUGGCCGUCGCGUGUCCCGGCGUCGCGGGUCCUUUUUCUUUCCUUCCACCGUCGAGACACAGUGACGCUGCACCUCUCCUUCCUCUGCGACCAGAUUCAUCAUGCAAAGCAUAAAAGAAAAAUGUGGAGGGCGGUGUGUAUAUCGCUCACGCCUGCGUCCUGCUUUUCCACCAUAUCUCGCCCAUCAUUGGAAGUGACUGAAGAUUUUGGUUUUUUUUUUACUCCGGUGACAUUUGAAGAUUUUGUGUUUUUGGUUUUGGUUUUUUUUUUUUGAUUAAAAAUCCAUUUGUGAAAAAUGAACUUUAAUUUUUUUUUCCCUUCUUCUAUCACUGAUUCGCGCUGAUCACAUUGAUCAGUCUUGGAAACGACAGACUGAGAAAAAGGAUGAACGAGUGCAGUGUUUUCCACUGUGUUCUACGACGACAUGCUAAUAAUUUCGGGGGGUUCAUUUUUUUUGGGGGGGGGGUGUAUUGUAAUUUUUUUUGUAAUGGCUGCAGAUAGAUUGUUAAUAAUUUGUUUGUAUUACAGUGGUUGACAUGCAUCGUUCACUUUCAUUCAACUCUGACGAUAAUGUGCAUAUUUAGCGGGGGGACGAGUCCUUUUCUUUUUCUUUUUUUUUCGAAAAACGAAAAACGUUGCACAAAAAGAUGUACAAGCGUAAAGAUAAAGUGUAGUGGGUAGAACCGCUGCUCCGUUCGGUGUGAUGUCAGUGAGACGUGUACAUUUUUAGCUGGUGAUGAAACUUCUGUUCUUCAUUCUUUCUCUUGUGCGACUUUGGCCUGUAUGUCUUUUACAAAGACAAUCGGUGGAGUACGUGUCGGCUGUUUUUUUUGUAUUUUUAAUACAAUAAUUGUAAAUAUUGGUUAUAUUUUUGUUCAAAUGUACUAUGUUUAUGCCUCAACAUCCAGUUUAUAUGAAGCUGGGUAUCAAUAAAUACUGCAUAAAGAAAUCAA